GUUGGUGAUAUGAGCGGCGGAGGUACACCCGGUCCCAUCUCGAACCCGGCAGUUAAGCCCGCCAGCGCCGAUGGUAGUGUGCGCUUCGGCGCAUGUGAGAGUAGGUCAUUGCCAACU
rnacentral:rRNA from 1 species